UUAAAUUGAAGAGUUUGAUCAUGGCUCAGAUUGAACGCUGGCGGCAGCCUAACACAUGCAAGUCGAACGGAACAGGAAGCAGCUUG
rnacentral:rRNA from 1 species